rnacentral:lncRNA from 1 species
CACCCCUACCUGUCGGCAAGGUCCUCUGAUCCCUCCUAAUUCCUAAAAAAACACUAAACAACUAGUAGUACAUUGGAUUCCAUCUGCAUGUCAGCAAUUCCUAUGCAUAUGAUAGCGAACAGGAAAAACGAAUGCAUUAGUCGUGAAGUCUAGGUUACCAGAGAAGAUAUAUAGGUACCAUUAAUUUUGCACUAGUCCAUAAGAUGACAUUUAAUUAAUGCGAGUUUACAAUGGUGUUUCAGACAUAACUCAACAGAACUAAGUUUAAUUUGUUGAAAUUUUAAAAGGUCAAAAAACAUUUAUUUUUACUACACACGGCAAAACACAUAGGAUGCUAGACCAUGUGAGAUUAUGUGCUAUAUAUAUGUGCCAUGAUAAAAACUUACUUGUGUUCCCGAUGAAGCACAAAUAUCAGUUUCAAUGAAACCACACGUGCGCUCCAUUUCGUCUAGAGCCUCCCAAUUACUUUAAGUGUAUCUGGCCUAUCUGCUGGGUUACGGUCGAUGCACUGAUUUCCAAUCUCCACACACACUCUCACAUAUUGCAACCAUAUGUCUUCGUGCAACUGCUUGAACCUAAUACUCCAACUUUGAAGUACCCUUAUCUGGGCAAGGGUUUGUGUCGAAUAAACGGAAUGCAUUACUUUCAUAACCUACUCCUAAUUAAAUAUGGUCAGGGGAGAAGCAAGGACCACACUUCUCGAGAAUACCUAAGAGAAAUAAAAGUCUAUAAAAUCACCUCUAAGAAUAAAAGAAGCCUAAAAAUCAUAACUCAAUCCAUUUUCAAUCAAUCCAACAACCCUUAUCUAGUCAAGCACCCCUGUCC